rnacentral:lncRNA from 1 species
CUGUAAUCUGUCCAGUAACGCAGGUAAAAAUUCAUCAAUCAUUACUCGUUCAUCCUCAGUUCUUGGUCGUCCAUUAACUGUGGAAGCGAUUCCCAGAAUAACACAUAAGACAAAUAUAUUGCGGCCAUUUUAGAUUGGAAUCAAUUUUUAAACGACCCAAAUAGAAUAAUCCGAAACAGAGAUUUCUCGUUAAUUCUUAUCACAUAUUGUCGCUAUAUACACCUGUAAAAUAUUGUACACUGUCGUGUAAAUAUGUUUGUAAUGUCUUCCUACAAUCGAUAAUGUCAAAGUUUGUAUGACGUCUAUGAAAUAAUUAAUGUUGCCAGAGAUACAGGAACUGAGGAAUUGAUUUUUGUGUGGGUGCUGAAGACUAAUCAAUAUGGUUGGAAUAACAUUAGAACGAUCAGUGUUUCC